UGCCUCAGAUCAGGGAGGAUCACC
rnacentral:rRNA from 1 species